GGAGGAAAGCAGGGGAUCGCAAGACCUUGCGCUCAUUGAGCGGCCGAUGCCUGAUUAGCUAGUUGGUGAGGUAAAGGCUUACCAAGGCGACGAUCAGUAGCUGGUCUGAGAGGACGACCAGCCACACUGGGACUGAGACACGGCCCAGACUCCUACGGGAGGCAGCAGUGGGGAAUUUUGGACAAUGGGGGAAACCCUGAUCCAGCCAUGCCGCGUGAGUGAAGAAGGCCUUCGGGUUGUAAAGCUCUUUCAGCCGGAACGAAACAGUCUCGGAUAAUACCCGUGACUACUGACGGUACCGGAAGAAGAAGCACCGGCUAACUACGUGCCAGCAGCCGCGGUAAUACGUAGGGUGCGAGCGUUAAUCGGAAUUACUGGGCGUAAAGCGUGCGCAGGCGGUUUUGUAAGUCAGAAGUGAAAUCCCCGGGCUUAACCUGGGAACUGCGUUUGUUAAUAGAAAGCUAGAAGGGC
rnacentral:rRNA from 1 species